GACGAACGCUGGCGGCGUGCUUAACACAUGCAAGUCGAACGGAAAGGCCUUUUCGGAGGUACUCGAGUGGCGAACGGGUGAGUAACACGUGGGUGAUCUGCCCUGCACUCUGGGAUAAGCCUGGGAAACUGGGUCUAAUACCGGAUAGGACCGCACUUUAGUGUGUGUGGUGGAAAGUUUUUUCGGUGUAGGAUGAGCCCGCGGCCUAUCAGCUUGUUGGUGGGGUAAUGGCCUACCAAGGCGGCGACGGGUAGCCGGACCGAGAGGUUGGUCGGCCACAUUGGGACUGAGAUACGGCCCAGACUCCUACGGGAGGCAGCAGUGGGGAAUAUUGCACAAUGGGCGCAAGCCUGAUGCAGCGACGCCGCGUGGGGGAUGACGGCCUUCGGGUUGUAAACUCCUUUCGCCAGGGACGAAGCGUUUUGUGACGGUACCUGGAGAAGAAGCACCGGCUAACUACGUG
rnacentral:rRNA from 1 species